CGUACAGGUUUCCAUUACAUUUUGAGAUAUGGGUUGCCACCAUUUCAAUGAUUGUUACUUACGGAUCUGCUGUUUUCGCUGUUACUCCUCGUGAGAAUGUUAAGUAUCGCUACCUGUUAUUUACUGCUGCCCUGCCGCUUUUGAUGAGGAUUUCGAUUCAGAUCUUCUUGACAUUCAGGAAUAUUUUUAAGGCAAAAGAACCUGAUGCAAAGAAGCAACCUGAUGCAGAGAAGCAAGAUAUUGCAUGACU
rnacentral:misc_RNA from 1 species